rnacentral:rRNA from 1 species
AACGAACGCUGGCGGCAUGCCUAACACAUGCAAGUCGAACGAGACCUUCGGGUCUAGUGGCGCACGGGUGCGUAACGCGUGGGAACCUGCCUUUAGGUUCGGAAUAACUCAGAGAAAUUUGAGCUAAUACCGGAUGAUGUCUUCGGACCAAAGAUUUAUCGCCUUUAGAUGGGCCCGCGUUGGAUUAGCUAGUUGGUGGGGUAAAGGCCUACCAAGGCGACGAUCCAUAGCUGGUCUGAGAGGAUGAUCAGCCACACUGGGACUGAGACACGGCCCAGACUCCUACGGGAGGCAGCAGUGGGGAAUAUUGGACAAUGGGCGAAAGCCUGAUCCAGCAAUGCCGCGUGAGUGAUGAAGGCCUUAGGGUUGUAAAGCUCUUUUACCCGAGAUGAUAAUGACAGUAUCGGGAGAAUAAGCACCGGCUAACUCCGUG